rnacentral:rRNA from 1 species
AGGACGAACGCUGGCGGCGUGCUUAACACAUGCAAGUCGAGCGGUAAGGCCUCUUCGGGGGUACACGAGCGGCGAACGGGUGAGUAACACGUGAGCAAUCUGCCCUUCACUUCGGGAUAAGCCUCGGAAACGGGGUCUAAUACCGGAUAUGACCGUGCCAUGCAUGUGGUGUGGUGGAAAGUUCUGGCGGUGGAGGAUGAGCUCGCGGCCUAUCAGCUUGUUGGUGGGUAAUGGCCUACCAAGGCUUCGACGGGUAGCCGGCCUGAGAGGGUGACCGGCCACGACUGGGACUGAGACACGGCCCAGACUCCGUACGGGAGGCAGCAGGUGGGGAAUAGUGGACAGUGGGACGAAAGCCUGACUCGAGCAACGCCGCGUGAGGAUGACGGUCCGUUCGGUUACGUAAACCUCUUCAGCGCCGACGAAGCGAGAGUGACGGUAGCGCAGAAGAACGCCGACCGACCAACGU